UCCCGAUUAGUUCAGUUGGUAGAACACCGGACUGUUAAUCCGUAUGUCUCAGGUUCGAGUCCUGAAUCGGGAGCCA
rnacentral:tRNA from 1 species